rnacentral:rRNA from 1 species
CCUACGGGAGGCAGCAGUGAGGAAUAUUGGUCAAUGGACGAGAGUCUGAACCAGCCAAGUAGCGUGAAGGAUGACUGCCCUAUGGGUUGUAAACUUCUUUUAUAAAGGAAUAAAACGAGGCACGUGUGCCUUUUUGCAUGUACUUUAUGAAUAAGGAUCGGCUAACUCCGUGCCAGCAGCCGCGGUAAUACGGAGGAUCCGAGCGUUAUCCGGAUGUAUUGGGUUUAAAGGGAGCGUAGAUGGGUUGUUAAGUCAGUUGUGAAAGUUUGCGGCUCAACCAUAAAAUUGCAAUUGAUACUGGCAGUCUUGAGUGCAGUUGAGGUAGGCGGAAUUCGUGGUGUAGCGGUGAAAUGCUUAGAUAUCACGAAGAACCCCGAUUGCGAAGGCAGCUUACUAAACUGUGACUGACAUUGAUGCUCGAAAGUGUGGGUAUCAAACAGGAUUAGAUACCCGAGUAGUC